rnacentral:rRNA from 1 species
UGGUAGUGUUAAUAGCACUAUCAUUUGACGUUAGCUGCAGAAGAAGCACCGGCUAACUCCGUGCCAGCAGCCGCGGUAAUACGGAGGGUGCGAGCGUUAAUCGGAAUUACUGGGCGUAAAGCGCAUGCAGGUGGUUUGUUAAGUCAGAUGUGAAAGCCCGGGGCUCAACCUCGGAAUUGCAUUUGAAACUGGCAGGCUAGAGUCUUGUAGAGGGGGUAGAAUUUCAGGUGUAGCGGUGAAAUGCGUAGAGAUCUGAAGGAAUACCAGUGGCGAAGGCGGCCCCCUGGACAAAGACUGACGCUCAGAUGCGAAAGCGUGGGGAGCAAACAGGAUUAGAUACCCUGGUAG